rnacentral:rRNA from 1 species
GGGUAACACCAACUGGAGGACCGAACCCGCAUCUGUUGCAAUAGAUUGGGAUGACUUGUGGUUAGGGGUGAAAGGCCAAUCAAACUCGGAAAUAGCUCGUACUCCCCGAAAUGCAUUUAGGUGCAGCGUUCAGGUAGAGUAUUAUAGAGGUAGAGCUACUGAUAGGGCUAGGGGGCUUCACCGCCUACCAAACCCUGACAAACUCCGAAUGCUAUAAAAUGUUAAUCAGCAGUGAGGGCAUGGGUGCUAAGGUCCAUGUCCGAGAGGGAAAGAACCCAGACCAUCUGCUAAGGUCCCCAAAUGUAUGCUAAGUUGAUCAAACGUGGUCUGAUUGCUUUGACAGCUAGGAUGUUGGCUU